rnacentral:rRNA from 1 species
CCUACGGGCGGCAGCAGUGGGGAAUAUUGGACAAUGGGCGAAAGCCUGAUCCAGCCAUGCCGCGUGUGUGAAGAAGGUCUUCGGAUUGUAAAGCACUUUAAGUUGGGAGGAAGGGCAGUAAAUUAAUACUUUGCUGUUUUGACGUUACCGACAGAAUAAGCACCGGCUAACUCUGUGCCAGCAGCCGCGGUAAUACAGAGGGUGCAAGCGUUAAUCGGAAUUACUGGGCGUAAAGCGCGCGUAGGUGGUUUGUUAAGUUGGAUGUGAAAUCCCCGGGCUCAACCUGGGAACUGCAUCCAAAACUGGCAAGCUAGAGUAUGGUAGAGGGUGGUGGAAUUUCCUGUGUAGCGGUGAAAUGCGUAGAUAUAGGAAGGAACACCAGUGGCGAAGGCGACCACCUGGACUGAUACUGACACUGAGGUGCGAAAGCGUGGGGAGCAAACAGGAUUAGAUACCCCAGUAGUC